GUACUACGCUUAGAGAGCCCUAGGAACGUUACAUUUGAAUCCUUCGGUAGCCAAAAAUGGAAGAAAACUCCAGAAAUAAUUCUUCAAGAACAUACACUAACGAUUUUGGCCGGAUUAUUUCAUCCGACCCAAAUUCAAAUUCAUCUUGUGAAGAUUCCGGUGAUGUGCUGUCGCCGGAUCCCAUCUCUUGUGCUCUGCCGGCAAGAUUAAUGUAGCCUCAGGUCAACAAACGAUUGCAAUAACAUUUAAAUGCAAGUGGUGUUCCUAUAUUAAGAAGAUUAUACAUGUGUUCCUUUGGAGUUUUAAGGUGCGAAGGUGUUGCAAUUAUUUGGUAGUUUCUUCCAGUUGUAGUUUUUAAUAGCAGAUUUGGUGAUAAUGAUAGUUCACCAUUAAUGGAGGCGAACAACAACCUUCUUGAUUGAGGGACAUAUACGUAUCCUUGUAUAGUUUCUUGUUCUAUGGUUUUCUGGGACAACUUGAA